AAUUACCACAGUGAAUUAAAGUUAAAACGAAUUGUAUUAAAGAAAUGUGAACCAGCAGAGAAGUGGGACCCUAAAAAAUAUUCUUAUCUUAUCUUUAAAAAGGAAAUUACCUGUAGGACAUUCUUUGCAUAAGUGCAUGCAAAGCUUUUACUUACUUAUGGUUUCAAUUAAUACAUAUUUUCUUUAUCGUAUGAUUUGACUCAUUUGAGUAAUAUAAGAUUGGCUUUUUUAAAAUUGGAAAAGCAAAAUUGAUAAACUGCGUACAUAGUACCGUUUGGACAAGAAAAAUUGUCUUUUCCUGACACAUGAUAUGCCUUUUCAUGUAUUAUUGCCUUUUGUGAUUCGUAGCUAUACAAAUUGAAAUUAAUUAAUUUUUUACAUUUUAAACAGGACGUUUCCGAAGAAGCUGUCCAUGACGAAGAUAUCAGUGAAAGAAGUUCAAUGAGCGAAAGUGAUGAAGGAGUUUUUGAUGGAUACUACAAGGAAAAUCUAUCACUUCCGCAAUUUAUAAGUUGUAAAGAAGUCCUCUCGCCAGAAGAGAGAGUCAAAGUUUUACUUGUACCCCAUCCUCCUGAGCGAGUAUUGCUCGCAUUUUUAAACGUUUUGGACCCAAUUAUUAAAUGAGUUUACAAGAUCCAUAUUUUACUGGCAUUGAUUUUUGACCAUGACCAAGUUUAAUUCUUCAUUGGGGACACAACUUAGAUUGUAAUUUUUUAUUUAUUUUGCUUAUAAAUGCAAAAUCACUUCCUUUUUUGCAACACACAUGUAGAAAACAAAGCAUUAUUAAUGGUUCAGUAUAUCUUCGACGGGAAGAACACGAAAUUACGCCCAGUCCUCAUAGUAACUCGCGGCAAAAACAAGCAGGUGGAUAUAUUCGGACAAAACCAAGCA